UACGGGGGGUGCAAACGUUGCUCGGAAUUAUUGGGCGUAAAGCGCACGUAGGCGGUCUGAUAAGUCGGGUGUGAAAGCCCCGGGCUCAACCCGGGAAGUGCACUCGAAACUGACAGGCUUGAGUACGGAAGAGGGUCUCGGAAUUCCCGGUGUAGAGGUGAAAUUCGUAGAUAUUGGGAAGAACACCGGUGGCGAAGGCGGCUCUCUGGACCGAUACUGACGCUGAGGCGCGAAAGCGUGGGGAGCAAACAGG
rnacentral:rRNA from 1 species